ACUUGAUGAUGGGGACACUGAUAAAGUAAAUCUCGAAACUUUUCCCAACUCUCAUAGUAGUGCUCACCAUCAAUUUGAGAAAAAUUGGUGAUGGCAUGUCGUAUCUGAUU